rnacentral:misc_RNA from 1 species
GUGGGGGUGGUGUGGAGAGGUGGUGUUGUAACCUAUUUUCAUGCUUUUUGAUGCGGUAAAGGGACUGAAUUCCAUUAGUUUCUUCAAAAAGUCUUAACCAGAACAUAGUUUUCAUGAGUUUUUAUAGUUCUUUUGCCAAAACAAUGUUCUGUUGUAAGUAUCUUUUGAACUUUUGGACAAAAUUAAAUUGUUUAAAAUCCUUGAAAAGCAACCAAAAGGACAAAGAAGAGGAUGAUGAAGAAGGUUGGUAUUAUCUCUAUUAUUUGUGUAUAAAUACAAAAUAUCUAACUAUGUG